rnacentral:rRNA from 1 species
AGUCUGCAACCCGACUACAUGAAGCUGGAAUCGCUAGUAAUCGCGAAUCAGCAUGUCGCGGUGAAUACGUUCCCGGGUCUUGUACACACCGCCCGUCACACCAUGGGAGUUGGAAAUGCCCGAAGUCAGUGACCCAACCGAAAGGAGGGAGCUGCCGAAGGCAGGUUCGAUAACUGGGGUGAAGUCGUAACAAGGUACC